GUAGUAACUUUGCAUAACACUGCCUGAAUUUAGAGGAAUAGCAUGUAAUACACAGCAUCUCUUUAACCAACCGGGAGACUCUGCAGAGCCAGCUUGCAAUCCAGAAGUUCAAAAAACGAAAUAUAAAAAACAUGUAGAAAAUAUAAUGAAGCUAGCAUAGAUUGUGGAGAUUGGGCUACUUUUGGACUUGUAAAAUGUCAGUGAGAUUGUUUCAAAUGACCAAGAUUCUCGUGGUCUCUCAGCAUAGUUUUACUGAACGUUAUUUAACUUUGUGAUCUUGCAGUGAAUCAAUCUCACUCCCAAUCCAAAUCAGACAACUUUCGAGAAAGAUGAUUGCUUCUUUUCCGGUAGGUAGUUGUGAGAUUGUGUCUUCCAACUUGUUCUGAAGGAGUCUAGAAUCUUCAACCUUGUCUCAGAAGUUUUUGCUAAUUCUCAAUUGUGAUUGCCUCCAAUUCCGAGUUCAAUCGAAGCUGCAUGAUUGUCACAGAAUGUUGAACUCCCCAGUUGUCCAUUUCAUCUUUGUCUCGGAUUCCUUCUCUCCACAUGUACCUCCUAACGGUCCACUCUAGACCACCAUCUACGGUGUCUAACUCCAUUUGUAAUUGCAAAAUAACAUCAUGGUGUCUCAUUUUUCUGUUGCCUGUCGAGUCAUGGGCUUCAGAGCUUUCUGCAUGAUUCAGCUUCGUUCAUUCUUGCAUACCAUAAUCUCCUAACCGUUUUGCAAGACCUCUUCAGCAUGUGUCUCCUCAAUAGGUGCGAUUCUCUUGGCUCUUGGUGCAUGAGUUUGUCGCCCCUUAGGUCGGAGCAACAGAAACGACUUGCAGUUUCCAAGUCGAGCGAAACUCACAGUCCCAAGACGAGAGAAAAUUUUGAACCCGCCUCUAACGUCCAACCGCACAAGAAGUGCAUCCUCAGCAAAUUGGUUCCCGUGCAUUGUCUCCGCUACAAGAGUUUCGAUACAACUGUUUCGCUCCCUGGUAUAGCGGUGAACAACAAUGUCUAGCUGCGAAGUAGUAUCCACCCUCGAACAGAUCAAGGUGUGAGCCCAUCGAAGCGAACCGUUUGUGACCAUCUCGUUUCCACGUGACCGGACUAGUUCAGUGCAACGCACUUCAGGAGCAUUGUCGCACAAUGCGACAUCCCAUGGAGCGUGGUGCCGUUUGCUCUAUGUCUCACAUACAAUGACAUGCAACGUCUCAUGACGGGCACAACAACACACCAUAGGACUGGACCUGCAUUGGACGCAUCGCACACCACAUUACAAAGGCUGUCACACGAGCACUGCGUGCCUGAGGUCACGGAACAGAUUUGUCACAUUUAUAGAUAUUUUCCCGCUUUCACAGGGGAGUACACAAUGCCACUCUACUCGGGUGCACGCUCAGAAGAUUUCCAUCCACUUCGACCCCACGUGGAGACGGCAGUGCUCCAGCUUGGACCCUGAGAGCUCAGCUUCCGGGGACUCGAAUUCCUGCACAGCAUGCAAGUCAAAGCCAUGAGUGGCAACCCCAUGAUCGUGAUCGGCUCCGCUUCGCACAAGGCGGUGCACUCGCCGCCGCACUGUCGGCAGCAUGUCCACAACCAUGACGUACGAGGCAAGGCAGCAGGAGCAAAGACAUCACCGGACGACGCGAAGGAUGGGACGUGACAAUUCGCUGCUACAACCCACCCCCUGGGGCGGCUGGGCGGCUGGAAGGCAAAGAACUGCAUCAGCGUGGGAGAAGGCGUGAAAGCGUAUCUUGGCACACGAAGCCCCUCGGGACGGCGAUGCGGCAUUUCUGGGGGAUGCCGAGAGCGAUCCGGGGAGCCACCCCUUGCGACCUGGCCAGGGGGUGGUUCAGGAGAGAACACAGACAGUUGGCUCCCGGAAGCCCCUUGCCCAUGCUGGCGACGUUGGAGCAGCAUUGCCUGGAGGGCCUCACGUUGGCAUUCUUGCUGGCUGCAAUACACGGCGCUAGUUGGAAGACGUCGCGGCUCCCGGAAGCCCCUUGCCCAUGCUGGCGACGUUGGAGCAGCAUUGCCUGGAGGGCCUCACGUUGGCAUUCUUGCUGGCUGCAAUACACGGCGCUAGUUGGAAGACGUCGCAGCCGGCUGCUUGGGAAGUGACCAGCAUCUGAGAGGUCACAAGCAGGAUCAAGGACACAGCGGCGACCGCGAGGAGCUUCAUGGCGCUGGGACUGCGGCGUAGUGCAGCUGCAACUCCUGAUUGAGGGAACGAAGAAGAUGGGGAACUCGGGGUGGCGCAGGCAGGUGCUCAAGCAUCGAGAGCGGGUGAUGAAGGUGGAGAGGGAGAGCGGCGGCGGGUGGAUCUUAUAGCGUUCAGCUGAAGCAGGGAGGGAGGGAGGGAGAGAGACACACGUGGUGUGUUGAAUUGUGCGGCGGGGGAGGAUGCUGCAGGGAUGAGCAGGUUGGUGGGGGUAGCUGCUACAGGGAAAGGGGAAAGGGGCUGCUGUGCUGUCAUUUGGAUUGCGGGGGGCAGGUCUAAUAAAGCCCGGGGCUGGGAAUGUCAACCUGCUCCUCGUUCUGAGAGAGUCUGAUGUGGGUGUGUGUGUGUGUGUGUUUGUGUCAGUCAGAAGUGUGUGGGAUGAAGCACUCGGGCGUCGGGCGGAGCAAGUGGAGCUUUCGCUGGUUCGGUCUUUGAUUAAGAAAUCUCACCUGCUCGCCCCCCUGCAACCGGAACUCACCAAGAUAUCAGGUUUUAGUUUUCUGACAUAAAGGUUAUUUUAUAGCGGCAGAGGCACAUUAAUAUUGAGGUUUGAGCUUGCUAGCAGAUGUCUUUCCAAGUGAAUAUUGGCGCAUUAACAUUGAAAUUCGAGGUUGCUUUCUAUUGGGUGACAUCCAUCUACAUUUUACUUCCAAACAGUUCCUCGGAUACUUAUUGGUUCAUUGGAACGUUAUUGUUAGAUUGCUACCAUAACGAUUAGAUAGCGUCUGUGUAAGAGUGAUUGUUUAACUCAGAGACUAUAGAAUCUGUUCAAGUCUCAAGUGAUUUGUGUGUAGUAAAUAAAGUAUUGAUUUUUGUAUUACUGUAAGCAUGUUUAUGAGAAUCCAUUAACUACGUUAGGUGUUGGGCCACUUCCCAACACUACAUUGAGCGAUUUUACAGACAAUCUCUUCUGCAGAGAUUAACACAAUUCAGUAGAUAAUAUUUUUCACAAAAUUAUUUUCUUAAACAAUUUCAGCAUGGAUAAGAACGACAAGUUGUGAACAGAUUAGAGACACGUCCUAUUAUCGAACCAAUCUCAAUUACUUCUGAUGAUCAACUUCUGCUAGAUGCUUGGGAUGAGAAAAAAGUCAAUGCUAGAAUGUUUAUUAGCUAAUCUAUUACACGAAAGAUACUCGGAAAGCUUACUAGCUGCAUGAAUGCCGCUGCGAUGUGGCACAAAUUAUGUUCGCUCCACCUGAAAAAGACCCUCGAGAGUAUCUUCACUCUUCAAGGAAUUUUUAUUCGAUUAUAGGACGCAAGUUACAAACGACAUUUCUUCACACAUACAAAACAUUACUGAAAUGACAGGUAUUCUUGCAGGUCUUGGACACAACGUACCAAAAAAAAUGAUUAUAUCAAAAAUCAUAUACAGCCUACCACUUAGCUAUAAUAGCAUUAUAGCAUUUUAGUAGCUUGGUCAAAUGUUCCAAAUAUUAAUCAAACCGUCGACAACUAGAGAAACGAUUAUUACGCCACGAAAGUUUGUUGCAGUGCCAAGGAGGAGCUGAUAUUAACGCAGAUCAAGCCUUCUUUACCUGCUCCAAUGCUUAACCUACAAGACCGCUGAACAGAAGAGAACUAAACAAGAAAGAUAUCCACUAUAUUCGUGAUCUAAAGGCUCGCACUAAAUGCUACAAUUGCCACAAGCUCGGCCAUUGGUCGUCUGAUUGCACAAAGCCAAAGCGAAAUUGUACAGCAAAGACCCUGGGAGAAUCGAUGGUGGUAUGAAUGAUGCCAACUUCGCUAAAAGCCUCUAUCUCUAAAAUACCUCCGACGACGACUCCAAAUCUGGAUCCGACACAGAUUUUGGAUUCAUAGUCAACACGGCAAUUUCUAGUCAUGCUAAUGUUGUUCAAUCUUCGGUUGAUGCUUGGUUUGCGGAAAGUGGUGCAAGCGAGUACAUUAUCGAUUGCCAUGAUUGGUUUUCACACACACACUAUAUACCCGAGGGCACACACACGAUCCAAAUCGCAGACAACACCAAGCUAUGGGUUCGAGGCCGCAGCAGUAUUCAGAUCCAAUGUUUAAUCAACAAAAAAUACAGAAAUGGAGUAAUCAAUGAUGUCCUCUAUGUCUCGCAAUUGAAGAAAAAUUUAUUCUCUGUGGGCCUCGUCUCUGAACAAAACAUUUCAUUUAUAACACAUCCAAGGCGAUGUGAAUUUCGAACAAAAAGUGGAAAGAAAGUGAUGGAGGGCACACGUUUUCACAAGCUAUAUCAGUUAUCUAUCCAUGUGAUACCACCCCAAACAAUUUCUUCAACUACAUCAAAAUCAGAAAAUGAUUAUACUACAACAACUAUUUUGAAUUUUAAAACUGAAAAUGAUACCUUAAAUUCUCAGCAGACAGCCAGUUUCCUCAAGCCAGCAUGAUAUUUUUUUUUUCUUCAUUUUUGCACACAGAUGGCGCGGCUUUUUCAACUAGUACUUCUUUUUUGUCUAAUGAUUUACAAUUAUGGCAUGCUCGUAUGGGCCAUGUUAACAUUCCUACGAUUCAUGGGAUGAAUAUUCGGCAGAGUCUACUGGAUUUUAAGCUCGACAGCAACGAUUUACUUCCGCAUCCUUGUGAAGGCUACAUGAAAGGAAAAUAGCAAAAAUAGUCAUAUAAACAUGAUCCAACAAAACAACGCUCGUCUUUACCAAGACAACUCAUACAUGGCGAUGUCUCAGGAAAGAAAACAAGCAUUCCUUCACUAAAUGGUUCUCUUUAUUACAUUUUAUAUAAGGAUGAUGCUACAACAUUUCGUUUCGUACAUUUUGCUGAAAGGAAAUCUGAAGCUUUUCCAUUCUUUAAACAAGUUGUUAAUCUUGUCAAACGGGAUACAGGACACAAUGUACUUGCAUUUCGAACAGAUCAAGGACAAGAAUUUUGUAAUAUUGCUUUCGAUCUAUUUCUCAAUGAAAGUUAUAUCAAGAGACAAACAAGUACAGAUUACACACCACAACAAAAUGGCUAUAUGAAAGAGACAAUCAAAUNNNNNNNNNNNNNNNNNNNNNNNNNNNNNNNNNNNNNNNNNNNNNNNNNNNNNNNNNNNNNNNNNNNNNNNNNNNNNNNNNNNNNNNNNNNNNNNNNNNNUUGCGCAACUAAGGCAGGUUAGGAUGCAGAGUUUGAAUAUACAACCCUAAUUUGCCCUGUCAAAGUUCAUGUUGGGCUCACUGGAGAAGAGUGCCAAAAAUGGUUUGAAUGGCUGCUAUGAAUAGGUCCAAUUUGGUGGCCUCUGUGGUCAUCUCACAGAAUUUUUGUUGUACUUCCUUUCAUGUUAGGUUUCUCUUUUCUUGUUGUAUCCAACAUGCCAAUCCUAUAGAGUCCUCAGUUGAAGAGUGCAUUUGUCCUCUACAUGGAGAAAAUUGGUCUUAGGAGGAAGGUGAGUUCUAGGCUAAAUCAAAGCCCCAUGUGUGAGUGCUUCAGGUGACUUGUUUUGACGAUCUAUUGCCAUGUAUUGCUAAUGCGAGCCCAUAUUUUGGAGUUGGGGGAUUUUUUUAUGGCCUUUAAUUAUGUGCAAAGUAGGAUCGAGAUAUCAUUUGAUAAUGGAAGUUGGUUGGCAUUGCUCCAAUCAGUGUUAGAGUAAUAGAUGGAGAUUUAAGUGUUCCAAUUUUGCAACUUUCACAAUCCAAUUACUUAGUAUACAAUUGUCAUGGACAUACAUAUUUAUUUCUAUAGUUAUGUAGAUAAUAUGGAUAAGUAGAAGUAGAUAAAAGUAAAUUAAUUUCAUAAUAUUUAGUAGAAAGCUUCCAAGAAGCUUUAUAGAUGCAAUUCCAUCUUUAUAUGCAUUUAUAGGUGAUAGGUAGGAUGAAUAUUAUGCCAACAAGUUAUUCAUGUGUUACAUAUGUUGUUAGCUUGUGGUACAAGUUAAUUAUAUAGUGCACAAAUAGAAAAUUUGUCUUGUAGGUUAAGACACAUGUCUCACAAAUUCAACACAUAUUUCAAGUCUUAUAAAAUAUUGCUACAUAGCUUUUAGAUAGAUAUUAUAUAUAAAAAGAAGAAUAAAGCCUUCUUCACUCUUAUCAAUUCUUUUUUUGUUUGUAGUCUAAUUUCAAGGAACUCUAAUUUUUUUAUCUUCUGGCAAUAGCCAUUUUAGUUUCUUUCAAAAUAUACAUAUUUAUUUCUAUUUUAUCAUCUUUUUUUGAUUUUUUAUUUGCCUUUAUUAAAUUUUUGUCCUUGAUAAAUUGACAAGAGUACAUUUUCAAUACUAGAGCUUUGUUUUUUCUUGAUUAAAAGUGGAUUGAAGUUUUUUUUUUUUUUUUUUUUUUUUUUUUUUUUUUUUUUAAAAAAAAACAUAAGCAUAUUAAAAGUUAUAGAUUACCCCCUUCAAAAUUGAAAUUUUUUUCCACAUUUUUUUGUUUCCAAACCCGGAAUCCAACUUGCCUAAAGGGAUUUAAAACACCUCCUUUUUCUUAAAAGUUACCAAACCACAUCUUAUUAAAAUGAAGAUUUCAAUGGUACAAAUAUAAGAGCAAUUUAUUGAAUUAAUGCUUGCAAUGCAUCAAUUCAAUUUAUCUCUAUAAGAAACAAUAAGAUUGACAAGAAGUAAAGAUAUAAAGAUGAUUGAAGCUACUUCAAUAUCUACACUGAAUCAUGUCACUCUUUUUAUGGUGGAACAUUGUUCAAAUAUUAAAAUAGUAAGAGUUAUUUUAUCCAAGAAGUUUAGUGGCACAAGUUCAAAGUUUCAAGGAUUCAUCAAUCAAGUACAAUUAGUCAUUAAACUUCAACUCUAAAGCUAUCCAAAUCCAAGUUCAUAGGUCAAAUACAUUGAAAUACUACUUUUAAGUUUUGCAUUAUUAUAAUUUUUAUCUUUUCUUGAUAACAUGGCCUAAUAUUAGAUAAUUUAGAGGCUUUCUUAGUAGAGUUUCAAUUCAUGUAUAAAGAACAUAAUACAAUUUGUAUUACAAUCAAUAAGAUCUAUAUUUUACAAUAAGGCAAUCAAUCAAUAAUAUUAUAUGUUUCAUAAUUUUGACAACUUACAAUUAAUAUUAAGUGGAAUAAUAUUCCAUUCAUUAGCUAAUUUUCUAUGGAUUUUAAUAUGAGAUAAAGAAAUUGAUGCUCAACUUACUUGAUUCUCAAACAUUAAGUUAAGUGAUUAAUUUUGCUUUAAAAUGUAACAAUCAAUUUUUUAUAUUUCAAUUUUAAAAAUUACAUAAGUAGGCCUUAUCUUUAUUACAAUUUAAUGGCAAUACCAAUGUCUUUUCAAUAUAUGCACUUAAAAAUAUAGGAUAUACAAAUUGAUGUGAUGUAUUUUAAAUCUCUUAUUGAAUAAAAAAAGAUUUGUCAUUAUUAAAAAGAAUUAUAUUUAUAUUAUGGAUAAUUUAAGCACAUUACUCAACAUUAUUCAAAGAAGCAAUGUAACUACAAAAUAAAAAGUAUGGUUAUCAAAAAAGAUAAUAUGUUAGAAAACAAAUUUGUCAAGCUAUAAUAGACAUUGUGGAGUUGGAAUCUUAUGUAAUAUCUAGUGAAAGUCAUAUCCUUUUCUUAGAACUCUCUCUUUUUUUUACAAUAGAUGUUAGUUUAAAAUCUAAACAUCACAAAGUCUCUGUCUCAUUAAAUUCAAGAGUCUCAACUUGUUUUUUACAUGAAGGGUUUGUUAAAAAAAACUUAGCAUAUCUAUAGUAUGGAAAAACUAAACUUGUUCAUGUGAAAAUCAUAGAUAAUUUUCUAUUGUCUUUUGAAGAUAUUAUUCAUAAAAUUCUUCCUAUAAAAAUAGCAACUAAUGGUCAUAGUAGUUUUGUGAUAUUUAAUAUAAUUUUUUUUAAUCUAAUUAUUUUGAAUUUAUCAUAGUUAAAAAAAUAUAAUCCUUAAAUAAUUGGAUUUUCUAUAGACUUGACUUUUUUGAGAGUAUAAUUGAAAGUUUUGUCAAACAAGUAGAAAGUCAAAAGUCUAAUAUGAUCAAAUCCAUAUUUAUAUGUAUAAGAAUUUUUUUGUAUGUUAUAAAAAAAUGAUCAUCUUACGUUAUAUAUGCCACAUCUAAUUCCAAUGUUAAAAAGACUUAAGCUGGUAUUCUAAGCCAAUAUUAAGAUUAUAAAGAUAUUUUUGGAAAAAAAAAAAAAAUAUUGAUACUCUUCUAGAACAUUCCGCUUAUAGUUACUUAAUUAAUUUUAAAGAAAGAGCCCAAUUGCCAUUGGACCAAUCUAAAAAUUUUCAUAAAAUAAAUUGAGUGAACUCAAGAAUUAUAUUGAUGAAAACUUAGCCAAGAAUAAAAUACACUAUUCUAAAUCUUAAAUAUAAGCUAUAAUCUUAUUUGUAAAAAAAUAAAAUGAUAGAUUAUUGCAAAUAUGUAUGGAUUAUUGAGAACUUAACAAGAUUACUAUUAAAAACAGAUAUCCUCUAUCCUUAAUAUCAUCACUUCUUCACCAAUUAAAUUAUCCUAAGAUCUAUAUCAAAAUAGAUCUACAAGAAACAUACAAUUUGGUAUGCAUCAAAGAAGGAGAUGAAUGAAAAAUCACAUUUCAAACCAAGUAUAAAUUUUUUGAAUACAAUGUCAUGUCUUUUGGACUUACAAAUAUGCCAAUAAUUUUUUAAUAUUUAAUAAAUGAUGUACUUAAGUUAAUUUUAUAGUACUUAAGUUAACUUUUUAUGAUAUAUUAUUUCAAAAGAUAGCCUUUUGAUGGAUCUUAAAAAAGUCUAGAUUAUCAUGGAUUAUAAGGUUUCAAAAAUAAUAAGAAAUAUCCAAUGUUUUUUAAAAUUUUUCAAUUAUUAUUAUAUCUUCAUCAAAAGUUUUUAAAAAUUAUAAUUCUACUUAUACAUUUAACAUGUAAAAAUAAACUUAAGUAGAGAAAAGAAGCCAAAGCAUCUUUUAAAACUUUAAAGACACCUUUUAUAUUGAUAUCAAUCUUGUAUUGUAUCAAUUUUUUCAAGGCAUUUUUUAUGGAAAUAAAUUCAUUAGAGUAAAUCUUAGGUGUUGUAUAGUUACAAAUGAAAGCAGAUAAUAAAUUCCACUUAGUAGCUUUCCAUUCUAAGAAAUUUUUCAUAGUCAAGAUUAACUAUAAGAUCUACAAUAAAGAGUUUUUUUACAAUUAUGAAUUCAUUCAAGAAUAUUAUCAUUAAUUAGAAGGUGCUUCCAAUCCAAUUAUUAUAUAUAUGGAUCCAAGAACCUUGAGUGUUUCAUGGCACUAUGUGUUUUGAAUUUUUUCUAAGCCUAUUAGAGUAUGUCUUUAUUGAAAUUUGGAUUUAAAAUUACUUUUUGAUUAAAAAAUAACAAAAUUUAUUAAACAUCUUUUCUAGACAUUCUUAUCUUGUAUCAAAAAAAAAAAUACAACAUUUGAUUAAUAAAAAAUAAUUCUCUUGAAAUUAGAGCAUUUUCAUCUUUGAGUAAUGAAAUCAAUAUAUAUUAUUAUUUCAAUCUUUUUCAAAUAAGUUCAAUCAAAUAUGUCUUCUAAUCUUCUUCUUCAUAAUAUUAAGAAUAUUUCUUUUAAGUCUCAUGAUACUUCUAAGUUUGAGUUUAAAAAUAAUCUAUUCUUUUUUUUUAGAAAUACUUAUAUAUUCCAAAAGAUGAAGAAUGAUUGCAUGUUCUUUAAGCUCAUUACAACUUUUUGUACCAUGACAUUUUUGAUAUAAUAAAAUAAUAGAGCUAAUAUCCAAAGAUUUUUAUUGGCUUCAAAUGUAGAUAGAAAUUAAAGACUUUGCCCAAUCAUAUGAUGUUUCUUGAAGAUUAAAAACUCCUUGUCAUCAAUCUUGUGGACUUUUUUUAACUAUUAUCUGUUUUAGAAUAAUCAUGGUUUUUUUUUAUUGAUUUUAUAACAAAUUUUCCAAUCUCAAGUUCUUAUGAUUUUAUAUUUGUGAUAGUAGAUUGUUUCACCAAGAUAGUAUAUUUUGUAUCAUGCACAAAAUCUAUCAAAAGUGAAAAAAUAGCUAAACUCUUCCUUUACAACAUCUAAUACUAUUAUAGAUUAUCCAAGGAUAUUAUAUUGAAUAGAAAGAUUCAAUUUAUAUUAAGAUUUUAAAAAAUUCUUUUCAAGAUUUUAAAGGUGGACAUAAAACUAUCUUCAGUUUUUUAUCUUCAAAUUGAUAGAUAAACAAAGCAUGUAAAUUAAGUUUUAAAAUAAUAUUUAAUAUAUAUCAUCAAUUACUAAUAAGUUGAUUAUACAACUUUUUUUUUAUCACUGGUAGAAUUUUCUUAUAAUAAUAUGAUAUAUUUUUCUAUUCAAUAAUUUUUUUUUUUACUAAUUAUGAUUAUCAUUUAUAAUUUGAUGCUUUUGAUUUUUUUAAAAUUAAUAUUUUUAUAGCAAAAGAUAUGACAAAUCAUUUAUUUGAGCUAUAUAUAAUAAUAAAAAUAUAAGUAAAAAGACUUUAAGAAUAACAAAAGAUCAAUGCAAAUAUAUAUCACAAGAAGCAAUCUCAAUUCUAUGUUGGUGAUAAGGUAUGAUUACUUUGUUGUAAUAUCAAGCCAAUUUAUGCUUGUCACAAGUUUGACUACCAAGAACUUGAGCCAUUUUUUAUUUAUGAAUAAAUCAAUCUAAUUGCAUAUUGAUUACAUCUAUUAAAGUCUAUAAAGAUCCAUCUUGUAUUUUACUUAUCUUUCUUUGGGUAAUAUAUGAUAGUGAAUAUCUUAAAAAGGAGACAAAUGACACUACCUUCUAUAGAAAUAGAUAAUAAUGAAGAAUUUGAAGUGAAAGAAGUCUUAGACUCAAGACAUCUCUAAAAUAGGUUUAAAAGUUUAGCUUAUUCAUUGGUACACAUAUGAUAUUAGUAAAUAUACAUAAAAACCAAUCAAGAAUCUUAUAAAUGCAGUAAAAAAAGUCAAAGUUUUUCAUCAACAAUAUGUAUCAAAAUCAAAAUAAGUUUUUCAUCAAUAAUAUCUAUCAGAAUCAACUAAUUUAUUAAUAAUAAAAAGAAAGAUGUUUAAUAAAGAUUACAUUCCAUCUUUUAUUCUUUAAUGUGAUUUCUUUGUAUUAGUGAUACUAACAAGGUAGAGAACCAACAUCCAAUAAAUUCAACUCAAAAGCUAUUGUUUGUUAACUUACUAAACAAGUCAUUGCAAUUGUUACGGCUUUCAAGAUGACAUAAUAAAGAUGAAUACCUUUAAAAAUGAUAUGUUCUUUCUUAAAUAAAUGGUAAGAUAAAAUGAAUUUGAUACCACAACCUUGAAAGAGACUUCCAAUAUUUGGUGAUUUUAUUGGAAGUAGAAAUAAUUUUUGAUAGUAUUAUAGAUAUUUUGUUUGAAAGAAGUUAUAAAGGCGUCAAUAAUGAUGAAAUAUUAGAGUGGUCUUUUUGCUUUAGAAUGGGACAUUAUCAAUGGCUAAGAAGACUUAUCAAUUAUCUUUAAAAGAAAAAAAAGAUGAAAAUAUGUGACAAAUGCAAUUUGUUGAAUUUUGGACUUCAUCAACAUAUGACCACUGCUCAUUGUGGAACUUGUUCUUAAAAGGGGAGAUAAUGAGAGGAACAUACAUAUUUAUUCUAAUAAUUUUUUAAAUAAUAUGAAUAAGUAGAAAUAAAUAAAAGUAGAUUAAUUUAAUGAUAUCUUAUAGAAAAGCUUCUUAAAAGCUUUAUAGAUACAAUUUUAUCUUUACAAGUGUCAAUAAGUGAUUAAAAGAAUAAACACUUGGUCAACAAGUUAGCCACAUGUUUCAUAUGUCAGUAGCUUGUGAUACAAAUUAACUAUGUGGCAUAUAUAUAAGAUACUUGUUUUAUAAAUGAAAACAAGUGUCUUCUAAAUUAGACACAUGUUGAAGGUCCUAUAGAAUAUCCUCAUAUAGCUCCAUAGUAGAUAAUAUAUAUAGAAACAAGAAUUAAGUCUUCUUCACUCUUGUCAACUCUUUUCUUAUUUCUAAUUUAGUUUCAAGAUUCUUUAGUUUUUCUUGCCUUUUAACACCAUUCUAAUAUCUUUUUGAAUAUACAUACUUAUUUAAUUUUUUCAUCUCUCUUUGAUAUAUAUAUAUCUCACUUAUUUACAUAUCUUUUUUUGAAUUCUUGUCCUUAACAAAAGCAUAUAAAUUUUAGAAUGAUUAUAAAUAAGAUAUUUCAAGCAAGAUUCUAACAUUAAUUAGCAAAGUAAAAUAAUUUUAUUUUGAACUAAAAUUUAGUCAUUAAUUUUUGUAAUAACUUAAUUAUUUUUAUAAGUAAAAAUUAGUAUUUAUCUUUUAAUUAAAAUAAUUUUUAUUUUAUAUUAUUAAUUAGCUCUAAAGUCUUGCUUAAAAUAUCUUAUUUAUAAUAACUUUAAAGAUGAAAUACAUGAGACAUUAAAUAAGGCUAUAUUUACUUAAACAAAGAAUAGUAGAUAAUAACAAAGUUAAUGGAUUCUCAUAUAUAUGCUCAUAGUAAUACAACAAUCAAUACUUUAUUUACUUUACACAAAUCAUUUGAGUCUUGAACAGAUUCUCUAAUCUCUGAGUUGAACAAUCAUUUUUAUGCAAACACUUGCUAAUUGUUAUUGUAGCGAACUAACAAUAACAUUCCAGUAAAGCAAUAAGUAUCCAAUGAAUUCUUCAAUUUGAUGGAAGCAGAAUGUGGAUGGAUGUCAUCCAAUACUUCCACUCAUCCAAAAACAUUUUACUAAGAAUGCAAGUCCUUCUCUCACUUAUUCUCAUGGAAUGGUCGGAAGUUGAGCAAAUGACGAAGUUGUUGAAAUGUGUCUUUUGGCAAAGCUUUAGUUAAUAUAUGAGCAAUCUAAUCAUUGAUGUAUAUGUAUUGGAAAUCCAUGAAUCUGUUUUCAUAAUGCUCUUUUAUCGAAAAAUACUUUAUAUGGAUAUAUUUAGUGCGGUGAAGGUAAUCAGGGUUUUUGAUUAGUAAUUUUUUAUGUUGAUGGAGAAAAUAUUUGAUUGUCUCUUUCAAUAUAGCCAUUUUGUUGUGGUGUGUAAUCUGUACUUGUUUGUCUCUUGAUAUAACUUUCAUUGAGAAAUAGAUCGAAAGCAAUAUUACAAAAUUCUUGUCCUUGAUCUGUUCGAAAUGCAAGUACAUUGUGUCCUGUAUCCCGUUUGACAAGAUUAACAACUUGUUUAAAGAAUGGAAAAGCUUCAGAUUUCCUUUCAGCAAAAUGUACGAAACGAAAUGUUGUAGCAUCAUCCUUAUAUAAAAUGUAAUAAAGAGAACCAUUUAGUGAAGGAAUGCUUGUUUUCUUUCCUGAGACAUCGCCAUGUAUGAGUUGUCUUGGUAAAGACGAGCGUUGUUUUGUUGGAUCAUGUUUAUAUGACUAUUUUUGCUAUUUUCCUUUCAUGUAGCCUUCACAAGGAUGCGGAAGUAAAUCGUUGCUGUCGAGCUUAAAAUCCAGUAGACUCUGCCGAAUAUUCAUCCCAUGAAUCGUAGGAAUGUUAACAUGGCCCAUACGAGCAUGCCAUAAUUGUAAAUCAUUAGACAAAAAAGAAGUACUAGUUGAAAAAGCCGCGCCAUCUGUGUGCAAAAAUGAAGAAAAAAAAAAUAUCAUGCUGGCUUGAGGAAACUGGCUGUCUGCUGAGAAUUUAAGGUAUCAUUUUCAGUUUUAAAAUUCAAAAUAGUUGUUGUAGUAUAAUCAUUUUCUGAUUUUGAUGUAGUUGAAGAAAUUGUUUGGGGUGGUAUCACAUGGAUAGAUAACUGAUAUAGCUUGUGAAAACGUGUGCCCUCCAUCACUUUCUUUCCACUUUUUGUUCGAAAUUCACAUCGCCUUGGAUGUGUUAUAAAUGAAAUGUUUUGUUCAGAGACGAGGCCCACAGAGAAUAAAUUUUUCUUCAAUUGCGAGACAUAGAGGACAUCAUUGAUUACUCCAUUUCUGUAUUUUUUGUUGAUUAAACAUUGGAUCUGAAUACUGCUGCGGCCUCGAACCCAUAGCUUGGUGUUGUCUGCGAUUUGGAUCGUGUGUGUGCCCUCGGGUAUAUAGUGUGUGUGUGAAAACCAAUCAUGGCAAUCGAUAAUGUACUCGCUUGCACCACUUUCCGCAAACCAAGCAUCAACCGAAGAUUGAACAACAUUAGCAUGACUAGAAAUUGCCGUGUUGACUAUGAAUCCAAAAUCUGUGUCGGAUCCAGAUUUGGAGUCGUCGUCGGAGGUAUUUUAGAGAUAGAGGCUUUUAGCGAAGUUGGCAUCAUUCAUACCACCAUCGAUUCUCCCAGGGUCUUUGCUGUACAAUUUCGCUUUGGCUUUGUGCAAUCAGACGACCAAUGGCCGAGCUUGUGGCAAUUGUAGCAUUUAGUGCGAGCCUUUAGAUCACGAAUAUAGUGGAUAUCUUUCUUGUUUAGUUCUCUUCUGUUCAGCGGUCUUGUAGGUUAAGCAUUGGAGCAGGUAAAGAAGGCUUGAUCUGCGUUAAUAUCAGCUCCUCCUUGGCACUGCAACAAACUUUCGUGGCGUAAUAAUCGUUUCUCUAGUUGUCGACGGUUUGAUUAAUAUUUGGAACAUUUGACCAAGCUACUAAAAUGCUAUAAUGCUAUUAUAGCUAAGUGGUAGGCUGUAUAUGAUUUUUGAUAUAAUCAUUUUUUUUGGUACGUUGUGUCCAAGACCUGCAAGAAUACCUGUCAUUUCAGUAAUGUUUUGUAUGUGUGAAGAAAUGUCGUUUGUAACUUGCGUCCUAUAAUCGAAUAAAAAUUCCUUGAAGAGUGAAGAUACUCUCGAGGGUCUUUUUCAGGUGGAGCGAACAUAAUUUGUGCCACAUCGCAGCGGCAUUCAUGCAGCUAGUAAGCUUUCCGAGUAUCUUUCGUGUAAUAGAUUAGCUAAUAAACAUUCUAGCAUUGACUUUUUUCUCAUCCCAAGCAUCUAGCAGAAGUUGAUCAUCAGAAGUAAUUGAGAUUGGUUCGAUAAUAGGACGUGUCUCUAAUCUGUUCACAACUUGUCGUUCUUAUCCAUGCUGAAAUUGUUUAAGAAAAUAAUUUUGUGAAAAAUAUUAUCUACUGAAUUGUGUUAAUCUCUGCAGAAGAGAUUGUCUGUAAAAUCGCUCAAUGUAGUGUUGGGAAGUGGCCCAACACCUAACGUAGUUAAUGGAUUCUCAUAAACAUGCUUACAGUAAUACAAAAAUCAAUACUUUAUUUACUACACACAAAUCACUUGAGACUUGAACAGAUUCUAUAGUCUCUGAGUUAAACAAUCACUCUUACACAGACGCUAUCUAAUCGUUAUGGUAGCAAUCUAACAAUAACGUUCCAAUGAACCAAUAAGUAUCCGAGGAACUGUUUGGAAGUAAAAUGUAGAUGGAUGUCACCCAAUAGAAAGCAACCUCGAAUUUCAAUGUUAAUGCGCCAAUAUUCACUUGGAAAGACAUCUGCUAGCAAGCUCAAACCUCAAUAUUAAUGUGCCUCUGCCGCUAUAAAAUAACCUUUAUGUCAGAAAACUAAAACCUGAUAUCUUGGUGAGUUCCGGUUGCAGGGGGGCGAGCAGGUGAGAUUUCUUAAUCAAAGACCGAACCAGCGAAAGCUCCACUUGCUCCGCCCGACGCCCGAGUGCUUCAUCCCACACACUUCUGACUGACACAAACACACACACACACACCCACAUCAGACUCUCUCAGAACGAGGAGCAGGUUGACAUUCCCAGCCCCGGGCUUUAUUAGACCUGCCCCCCGCAAUCCAAAUGACAGCACAGCAGCCCCUUUCCCCUUUCCCUGUAGCAGCUACCCCCACCAACCUGCUCAUCCCUGCAGCAUCCUCCCCCGCCGCACAAUUCAACACACCACGUGUGUCUCUCUCCCUCCCUCCCUCCCUGCUUCAGCUGAACGCUAUAAGAUCCACCCGCCGCCGCUCUCCCUCUCCACCUUCAUCACCCGCUCUCGAUGCUUGAGCACCUGCCUGCGCCACCCCGAGUUCCCCAUCUUCUUCGUUCCCUCAAUCAGGAGUUGCAGCUGCACUACGCCGCAGUCCCAGCGCCAUGAAGCUCCUCGCGGUCGCCGCUGUGUCCUUGAUCCUGCUUGUGACCUCUCAGAUGCUGGUCACUUCCCAAGCAGCCGGCUGCGACGUCUUCCAACUAGCGCCGUGUAUUGCAGCCAGCAAGAAUGCCAACGUGAGGCCCUCCAGGCAAUGCUGCUCCAACGUCGCCAGCAUGGGCAAGGGGCUUCCGGGAGCCGCGACGUCUUCCAACUAGCGCCGUGUAUUGCAGCCAGCAAGAAUGCCAACGUGAGGCCCUCCAGGCAAUGCUGCUCCAACGUCGCCAGCAUGGGCAAGGGGCUUCCGGGAGCCAACUGUCUGUGUUCUCUCCUGAACCACCCCCUGGCCAGGUCGCAAGGGGUGGCUCCCCGGAUCGCUCUCGGCAUCCCCCAGAAAUGCCGCAUCGCCGUCCCGAGGGGCUUCGUGUGCCAAGAUACGCUUUCACGCCUUCUCCCACGCUGAUGCAGUUCUUUGCCUUCCAGCCGCCCAGCCGCCCCAGGGGGUGGGUUGUAGCAGCGAAUUGUCACGUCCCAUCCUUCGCGUCGUCCGGUGAUGUCUUUGCUCCUGCUGCCUUGCCUCGUACGUCAUGGUUGUGGACAUGCUGCCGACAGUGCGGCGGCGAGUGCACCGCCUUGUGCGAAGCGGAGCCGAUCACGAUCAUGGGGUUGCCACUCAUGGCUUUGACUUGCAUGCUGUGCAGGAAUUCGAGUCCCCGGAAGCUGAGCUCUCAGGGUCCAAGCUGGAGCACUGCCGUCUCCACGUGGGGUCGAAGUGGAUGGAAAUCUUCUGAGCGUGCACCCGAGUAGAGUGGCAUUGUGUACUCCCCUGUGAAAGCGGGAAAAUAUCUAUAAAUGUGACAAAUCUGUUCCGUGACCUCAGGCACGCAGUGCUCGUGUGACAGCCUUUGUAAUGUGGUGUGCGAUGCGUCCAAUGCAGGUCCAGUCCUAUGGUGUGUUGUUGUGCCCGUCAUGAGACGUUGCAUGUCAUUGUAUGUGAGACAUAGAGCAAACGGCACCACGCUCCAUGGGAUGUCGCAUUGUGCGACAAUGCUCCUGAAGUGCGUUGCACUGAACUAGUCCGGUCACGUGGAAACGAGAUGGUCACAAACGGUUCGCUUCGAUGGGCUCACACCUUGAUCUGUUCGAGGGUGGAUACUACUUCGCAGCUAGACAUUGUUGUUCACCGCUAUACCAGGGAGCGAAACAGUUGUAUCGAAACUCUUGUAGCGGAGACAAUGCACGGGAACCAAUUUGCUGAGGAUGCACUUCUUGUGCGGUUGGACGUUAGAGGCGGGUUCAAAAUUUUCUCUCGUCUUGGGACUGUGAGUUUCGCUCGACUUGGAAACUGCAAGUCGUUUCUGUUGCUCCGACCUAAGGGGCGACAAACUCAUGCACCAAGAGCCAAGAGAAUCGCACCUAUUGAGGAGACACAUGCUGAAGAGGUCUUGCAAAACGGUUAGGAGAUUAUGGUAUGCAAGAAUGAACGAAGCUGAAUCAUGCAGAAAGCUCUGAAGCCCAUGACUCGACAGGCAACAGAAAAAUGAGACACCAUGAUGUUAUUUUGCAAUUACAAAUGGAGUUAGACACCGUAGAUGGUGGUCUAGAGUGGACCGUUAGGAGGUACAUGUGGAGAGAAGGAAUCCGAGACAAAGAUGAAAUGGACAACUGGGGAGUUCAACAUUCUGUGACAAUCAUGCAGCUUCGAUUGAACUCGGAAUUGGAGGCAAUCACAAUUGAGAAUUAGCAAAAACUUCUGAGACAAGGUUGAAGAUUCUAGACUCCUUCAGAACAAGUUGGAAGACACAAUCUCACAACUACCUACCGGAAAAGAAGCAAUCAUCUUUCUCGAAAGUUGUCUGAUUUGGAUUGGGAGUGAGAUUGAUUCACUGCAAGAUCACAAAGUUAAAUAACGUUCAGUAAAACUAUGCUGAGAGACCACGAGAAUCUUGGUCAUUUGAAACAAUCUCACUGACAUUUUACAAGUCCAAAAGUAGCCCAAUCUCCACAAUCUAUGCUAGCUUCAUUAUAUUUUCUACAUGUUUUUUAUAUUUCGUUUUUUGAACUUCUGGAUUGCAAGCUGGCUCUGCAGAGUCUCCCGGUUGGUUAAAGAGAUGCUGUGUAUUACAUGCUAUUCCUCUAAAUUCAGGCAGUGUUAUGCAAAGUUACUACC
rnacentral:lncRNA from 1 species